rnacentral:rRNA from 1 species
ACACUUGGAAACAGGUGCUAAUACCGGAUAACAACCAAAACCACCUGGUUUUGGUUUAAAAGAUGGCUUCGGCUAUCACUUUAGGAUGGACCCGCGGCGUAUUAGCUUGUUGGUAAGGUAACGGCCUACCAAGGCAAUGAUACGUAGCCGACCUGAGAGGGUAAUCGGCCACAUUGGGACUGAGACACGGCCCAAACUCCUACGGGAGGCAGCAGUAGGGAAUCUUCCACAAUGGACGAAAGUCUGAUGGAGCAACGCCGCGUGAGUGAUGAAGGGUUUCGGCUCGUAAAACUCUGUUGUUGGAGAAGAACAGGUGUGAGAGUAACUGUUCACAUCUUGACGGUAUCCAACCAGAAAGCCACGGCUAACUACGUGCCAGCAGCCGCGGUAAUACGUAGGUGGCAAGCGUUGUCCGGAUUUAUUGGGCGUAAAGCGAGCGCAGGCGGUUUCUUAGGUCUGAUGUGAAAGCCUUCGGCUUAACCGGAGAAGUGCAUCGGAAACCAGGAGACUUGAGUGCAGAAGAGGACAGUGGAACUCCAUGUGUAGCGGUGAAAUGCGUAGAUAUAUGGAAGAACACCAGUGGCGAAGGCG